ACCCAGCUGACGAGUCCCAAGUAGGACGAAACGCGCGUCCUGGAU
rnacentral:hammerhead_ribozyme from 1 species